rnacentral:lncRNA from 1 species
AUUAAUCUCAUUUUCUGUUGUCGUCUGUACAUUUUUAUUGAGUAAUUCCUUAUAAUUUUUUUGUCACAUCAUCUUUGGCGGAGACUCCCGUUGUGAGAUUUCUACCUCAAACUUUUGCCGGUCGGAGAUUUUGCCGCAUGAUACAUACUCUGAAAUGACGUAGUUACGAACUACGUCUGUUUUUUAACUGUUCAGCGUAAGUUCUUUCAAUGAGACAAACCACCUUAAAUUUAAAGUAAGAGCUUGGAGUAAAGAAGAUGAAAAGAUAGCUGGUACCGUAGGACUGACUUGCCGGAUCCAACAUUAAAGUCAGCUAUAGAUAUGAAGAACAAAAGAAAGAAAAAUAGUGGGGGAAUAAAGAAUGGAAGGGACUACAGUUUCUCCAAUUCUCCCCUACAUACACCUGGAUAUUUCAAUAAUAAAAGUGCAAGG